rnacentral:rRNA from 1 species
GAUGAACGCUGGCGGCGUGCCUAAUACAUGCAAGUCGAGCGAACAGACGAGGAUCUUGCUCCUCUUACGUUAGCGGCGGACGGGUGAGUACCACGUGGAUAACCUACCUAUAAGACUGGGAUCACUUCGGGAAACCGGAUCUAAUAUCGGAUAAUAUAUUGAACCUCAUGGUUCUAUAGUCAUAGCCGUUUUUGCUGUCACUUAUUCGUGUAUCCUCGCCGCAUUAGCUAGUUGGUAAGGUAACGGCUUACCAAGGCAACGAUGCGUAGCCGACCUGAGAGGGUGAUCGGCCACACUGGAACUGAGACACGGUCCAGACUCCUACGGGAGGCAGCAGUAGGGAAUCUUCCGCAAUGGGCGAAAGCCUGACGGAGCAACGCCGCGUGAGUGAUGAAGGUCUUCGGAUCGUAAAACACUGUUAUUAGGGAAGAACAAAUGUGUAAGUAACUAUGCACGUCUUGACGGUACCUAAUCAGAAAGCCACGGCUAACUACGUG